UUUUCGCUUUUUUGGAAGAUAAUGUAAUAAAUGUCCACAACCCCACACUAUACACCCCUCUUCACUCCACUCCUCCCUCCUUUGUGAUUGAAAAUGAGAGUCCCUUCACCUUUAAAAAGAAAAUAGAUGAGCGGUCUGCACCCGCAAGGCGGUGCUCUUGUUAAAGAUUAGGUACUGUAAUGAUAACAAAAGUAGACCGGAUUUAUUUGCAAUAUAAGUCAUUUUGUUUUCGUGAUAGUUUUUGUUCUUGUUUGGUGGCCUGUUGGCUUGAUGUGUAAAGACAUUUUGCUUUUAUGGUGUUUGGCCGUUUUUUGAAUGCCAGUUUACAUGUGUAAUUUUCUUAUCGUUUUGGUAAAAGCCAGUUGACCAGAUGUGGAUAAACCCAGUUAGCGCGUGUAGUUUGUUAACCAAACUUAUUAAAACGUGCGUUUACAUUUACAUUUUUGUUUUUAUUUAAUGUUAAGAUUGUACUGUUCGAAGGAUAUUAUAUAUAUUGGAGAACAUUAAAUGUAUGUUAUUAAGGUCCAGAUUGGCUUAUGUAAAUUAACCGGUUGGCUCGGGUUGUCCGUUGACAGUUUGUUGAAAGCAGAUUUUUUCAGAUGCGUAUAAGCCAGUUUGCUUGCGUGUCAGUUCACUAAAAUGUCUCAAAACACAUGUUGAAAUUGCAUUUACACAUGUUUGCGAAGUUUAUUUUUUCAGAAGCCGGACAGUUCGAAGAAUAAAUAAUGAAUAGUGUAACAUUAUAGUAAGAGGGAAGCUCGAAAGGUAUAAUUUGUUUUUGUUUUUUGUGUGUGUGUAAUUAUGUGUUAGAAAAUAACUUGUUAAGAUUAAUAAUGAUGAUUUUAUUGAUGAUGAUGUUAUAAAUGUUGAUGAUGAUGCUAACGUUAUUGAUGAGGAGGAGGAAUAGUUGACCGUAUUUUGUGAAUGGAUAAUACUACAUUAACGAAUUUUGAGUGAAUGAAUUUAUUUUAGGUUUGAUAAAUACCGAAUGAUGUUGGUCUAUACAUAUUAUUUAGAAGAGAAAGAGAGUAUGGUUAUGGUUUAGCACGUAAAAAUGAAGGAGUUUCUAGGUUUUGCGUUUAAUUGAACAAAAACAAGUAAAGAUUCAGCAACAGGGAUUAUUCUCAGAUGGUACAUGUAUUCCUUUUAGAGUCACAGAAAUUCAACUUUGCAUCAAUAGCGGUUUUCUUUGAGAUUUGUUUGAUGGGUAAAAAUUCCAAAAAUUGAUGAGUUUUGCAGCCGACCAAGUACCUAUAGCUUUGUAUUUGUGUGUGUUAAGCAUUUUGUUGUUUUCAAAUUAGUAAAUCAAAAUUAAUACAGUGUUCUAGUAUAUCAAUUGAGCUUAUGCUAUUGCCAUGGAAUUUUGAGCCAGGGUUCGAUCAGUAGCUGAAAGUAUGUCUGUGUUGGUGAAUUGAACCUAAAAACAAAUGUCAAGUCGGUAGUUUUAAUUUUAAGAGCAGAACAUACGUAUUGAUUGUGAGAACAUUAGUAAAAUGUGUUUGGUAUUUGUGCAUGUCUCUUGUGGUCAUUGGACCAAGUUGUUUAAGGUCAAUUGGCCUGAUUUUGAAAGCCACUUUGCUUGUAUGGUCAGUUGACCGCUUUUAAAGCCAGUCUAUAUGAUGUGUGAAAGCCUGUUGGCUUGUGUUGUCAGGUUACCGAACUUUCUUAGAACGAAAGUCUCAUAGAAUUAACAAUAUUUGCAAGUUUAUUGUUUGCAAUGCAGUAACUGGACAGUUCGAAUAGUAUAUUAAGUAUUGAAGAACAUAAAGGUAUGGUUUAUGUAGUAUGUUAUUAUUAUUACUAGGAGUGUUAUGAUGUAUUUUAUUUGGGUGCAUUUGGAGAAUUGCAAAGCCGGUAGUUAAAAAAGAGCCUAUUACAUCAGAUAUAUUAAAGAAAUUUUAUCACACUUUUGUUUCUGAGGGCGAUUGUUCUUUGGGGUAUUUAAGAGACGUUACAAUCUUUUUCUUAUCUUAUGCUGGUUUUUUAGGAUAAGUGAAAUUUUGUCUGUUAAAAUAUCAGAUGUUGUAUUUUUAGAUACGCAUUGUGAUAUUAAAGUUGAAAAGUCAAAAACGGACAUUUUAAGAGAGAGUAAUACUGUUCUGAUUGCAAAAACUAAUACAGACACAUCUGUGAAAUUGUUUGAAAAGUAUUUGUGUGUUGCAGAUAUUGCAUGUUCAUCUACUGAUUAUGUGUUUAGACCAGUUUAUUUGUGUAAUGUUAAACACUGUUUCAAAUUGAUUUCUAAUAAUAAGCAUAUAAGUUAUUCUACUAUAAAUGAUAGUUUUAAGAAGAAGUUAAGUCUAUUGGGUUAUGUUUCUUCUAAAUAUGAACUUCAUUCUUUUCGUGCUGGUGGAGCAUCUAUAAGUGCCAAUAAUAAGACUGUGGAUAGACUUUGGCAAAGACAUGGUAGAUGAAAAAGUGUUUCCACUAAGAACGGAUAUGUUAAAGAUUCUUUGAAAGACAGAUUAUCGGUGUCGCUAAAUUUAGAUUUGUGAAAAGUCAUUAUUAAUGUAUGUGUGAUUUGAAAUGUAUGAUGUGUUGUUCGUAGCACAUUUAAAGACACUAUAAUAUAUUAUUAUAUAAAUAAUUUGGAAAUGCUUUUGAGUAUUAUUAAGUUCUGUGUUUGUGUUGUGUGUAUGUUCCUUGUGGUCAUUGGACCAAUUUGUUUACGGCCAUUUGGCCUCAUUUGGUGAGCCAGUUGGCUUGUAUGGUCAGUUGACCGUUUUUUAAAGCAAGUUGAUCUGAUGUGUGAAAGCCGGUUGGCUUUUGUGAGUUGACCUUAUUUUCUUAAAAAGCAUGUUCACAUGGAAUUAACAAUCUUUGCAAGUUUAUUUUUUGCAGUGCAGUAACUGGACAGUACGAAUGGUAUAUUAAGUAUUGGAGAACAUAAAGUUAAAACACAGUUCGAGAGGUAUAUAACGUGGUGGAGAAUAUUUGGGUAUUCAUUUUAUGUUUCAUAUUAUUUGUAUUCUCUCUUUGUUUUAUUCGAAAGUCCUGUCAAAUACAAGCACUCACUCCUA